rnacentral:rRNA from 1 species
AUGGAGCCAUACUGCAUCUGGAACUCGUACCCGCAGCCGUCGGGGAGCUUGAGCUUCUGGCAGUUGAACCACGAGUCGCCCGUCUCGGCGAUGACGGCGCUGUCGCCGGUGAGCAUCUUCUGGACGUGCUUGAAGAGGACGUUGACGCGCAGCGGCUCGCCGGGCUCGCUCUCGGGCGGCUGCCCCUCGGGCACCCAGAUCCGCUUGUAG